rnacentral:rRNA from 1 species
UACGAAGGGGGCUAGCGUUGCUCGGAAUCACUGGGCGUAAAGCGCACGUAGGCGGCUUGUUAAGUCAGGGGUGAAAUCCUGGAGCUCAACUCCAGAACUGCCUUUGAUACUGGCAAUCUCGAGUCCGGGAGAGGUGAGUGGAACUGCGAGUGUAGAGGUGAAAUUCGUAGAUAUUCGCAAGAACACCAGUGGCGAAGGCGGCUCACUGGCCCGGUACUGACGCUGAGGUGCGAAAGCGUGGGGAGCAAACAGGG